GAGGGAGGCGCGCCGCCGUCGCGUCGCUCGCUCGGUCCUCGCCGACGGUAGCAGCCCGCGCCGGAGAGGAGCGUCAAAGAAGACCCGGGCUAGCCUUCUCGGUGGCCGCUGGCUGUUUCGUUUGCCUGUGUGGUGUGUUGGUGUGCGUGUGGCUAGCUUUAGGAGGUUGUGGGUUCGUAGUGUUCGCGCUGCAUAAAAAAAGGUGCCGCUACUGCUCGAAUAAGGGUGCCCGUACGUGUUGGUUUCGCGUGUGCGGUGUGUGUGCCCGAAACCAGCGAAUGUGUGCUCCGGUUGCUGCCUCGGAAUGCGGAAUCCCAGCGACUGUGCCCUGCUGACUUCUUCGGCGGCGUCGUUGUGCGUUUGAGUGAGUGAGAGAGAUGUUCUCAUCCGUUUAGAAAAAGAAAAAACCUACGGGCGCCGCUACUUCUACCAGCUGCUGCGAACCGUAGGAACGAGUCGUGAAGUGUUUGAGGCAUCGGAGACCAAGAAAGGAGAGAGGGACAGGCGGCUAGCAAAACAACAACACAAGGCCGGUUGGGACACCGAAAUAUAAAGGUGCUGACGUCAGGUGUCCGCCACCAGCAUAUACGCGAAAGUGGCGUCCGGUCGGGGAGUUGACCAGCGUCCACCGUUGGCCUCGGUCUCUGGAUUAAAUCGGCGGCUCUCGUCAUGCGUCCGCGACGGAUUGGGCUUACCGGGGCCUUGAGUCGUGGAACCGGAAGCCAUGAGCGGGUGCGCGGCCGGAGACCGUCCUGAGGAAGGCCACUUCCUCCUCUUCCUCGGGUGCCGGCCCGUCCUCCUUUCCAAGGUCCACAACGCCGGGAUUCUCAUCGCACCAUCGCACCGGACUUCUAGCCCCCGUCAUCUGACCACGUCACUUCCGGCCGCCGUUUGCUCCGUUUCUCGGACCGACGAAUCGCUUGU